rnacentral:rRNA from 1 species
GACGAACGCUGGCGGCGUGCUUAACACAUGCAAGUCGAACGGAAAGGCCCUGCUUUUGUGGGGUGCUCGAGUGGCGAACGGGUGAGUAACACGUGAGUAACCUGCCCUUGACUUUGGGAUAACUUCAGGAAACUGGGGCUAAUACCGGAUAGGAGCUCCUGCUGCAUGGUGGGGGUUGGAAAGUUUCGGCGGUUGGGGAUGGACUCGCGGCUUAUCAGCUUGUUGGUGGGGUAGUGGCUUACCAAGGCUUUGACGGGUAGCCGGCCUGAGAGGGUGACCGGCCACAUUGGGACUGAGAUACGGCCCAGACUCCUACGGGAGGCAGCAGUGGGGAAUAUUGCACAAUGGGCGGAAGCCUGAUGCAGCAACGCCGCGUGCGGGAUGACGGCCUUCGGGUUGUAAACCGCUUUCGCCUGUGACGAAGCGUGAGUGACGGUAAUGGGUAAAGAAGCACGGGCUAACUAGGUG